rnacentral:misc_RNA from 1 species
UACGUAGGGUCCAAGCGUUGUCCGGAAUUACUGGGCGUAAAGAGCUCGUAGGCGGCCCGCCACGUCGGUCGUGCAAGUCCUGAGCUCAACUCAGGAAUUGCGAUCGAUACGGGCGGGCUAGAGGGCGGAAGAGGCGAGCGGAAUUCCCGGUGUAGCGGUGAAAUGCGCAGAUAUCGGGAGGAACACCAGUGGCGAAGGCGGCUCGCUGGGCCGUUCCUGACGCUGAGGAGCGAAAGCGUGGGUAGCGAACAGG